rnacentral:rRNA from 1 species
AGUGAACGCUGGCGGUAGGCCUAACACAUGCAAGUCGAACGGCAGCACAGUAAGAGCUUGCUCUUACGGGUGGCGAGUGGCGGACGGGUGAGGAAUACAUCGGAAUCUACUUUUUCGUGGGGGAUAACGUAGGGAAACUUACGCUAAUACCGCAUACGACCUACGGGUGAAAGCAGGGGAUCUUCGGACCUUGCGCGAUUGAAUGAGCCGAUGUCGGAUUAGCUAGUUGGCGGGGUAAAGGCCCACCAAGGCGACGAUCCGUAGCUGGUCUGAGAGGAUGAUCAGCCACACUGGAACUGAGACACGGUCCAGACGCCUACGGGAGGCAGCAGGGGGGAAUAUUGGACAAGGGGCGCAAGCCUGAUCCAGCCAUACCGCGUGGGUGAAGAAGGCCUUCGGGUUGUAAAGCCCUUUUGUUGGGAAAGAAAAGCAGCAGGUUAAUACCCCGCUGUUCUGACGGUACCCAAAGAAUAAGCACCGGCUAACUUCGU